AGCACCGGCUAACUCCGUGCCAGCAGCCGCGGUAAUACGGAGGGUGCAAGCGUUACUCGGAAUCACUGGGCGUAAAGAGCGCGUAGGCGGGGUAGUAAGUCAGAUGUGAAAUCCUAUGGCUUAACCAUAGAACUGCAUUUGAAACUACUACUCUAGAGUAUGGGAGAGGUAGGUGGAAUUCUUGGUGUAGGGGUAAAAUCCGUAGAGAUCAAGAGGAAUACUCAUUGCGAAGGCGACCUGCUGGAACAUUACUGACGCUGAUGCGCGAAAGCGUGGGGAGCAAACAGGAUUAGAUACCCUGGUAGUCCACGCCCUAAACGAUGAAUGCUAGUUGUUGUGAGGCUUGUCCUUGCAGUAAUGCAGCUAACGCAUUAAGCAUUCCGCCUGGGGAGUACGGUCGCAAGAUUAAAACUCAAAGGAAUAGACGGGGACCCGCACAAGCGGUGGAGCAUGUGGUUUAAUUCGAAGAUACGCGAAGAACCUUACCUAGGCUUGACAUUGAUAGAAUCUGCUAGAGAUAGCGGAGUGCUGGCUUGCCAGAGCUUGAAAACAGGUGCUGCACGGCUGUCGUCAGCUCGUGUCGUGAGAUGUUGGGUUAAGUCCCGCAACGAGCGCAACCCUCGUCCUUAGUUGCUAGCAGUUCGGCUGAGCACUCUAAGGAGACUGCCUUCGUAAGGAGGAGGAAGGUGAGGAUGACGUCAAGUCAUCAUGGCCCUUACGCCUAGGGCUACACACGUGCUACAAUGGGGUGUACAAAGAGAAGCAAUACUGCGAAGUGGAGCCAAUCUCUAAAACAUCUCUCAGUUCGGAUUGUAGUCUGCAACUCGACUACAUGAAGCUGGAAUCGCUAGUAAUCGCAAAUCAGCCAUGUUGCGGUGAAUACGUUCCCGGGUCUUGUACUCACCGCCCGUCACACCAUGGGAGUUGUAUUCGCCUUAAGUCGGAAUACUAAACUAGUUACCGCCCACGGCGGAUGCAGCGACUGGGGUGAAGUCGUAACAAGGUAACCGUAGGUGAACCUGCGGUUG
rnacentral:rRNA from 1 species